rnacentral:rRNA from 1 species
UACAGAGGGUGCGAGCGUUGUCCGGAAUCACUGGGCGUAAAGGGCGCGUAGGCGGCCUGAUAAGUCGGGGGUGAAAUCCUGUGGCUCAACCACAGGGCUGCCUCCGGGACUGUCGGGCUCGAGCACAGUAGAGGCAGGUGGAAUUCCCGGUGUAGCGGUGGAAUGCGUAGAGAUCGGGAAGAACAUCGGUGGCGAAGGCGGCCUGCUGGGCUGUUGCUGAUGCUGAGGCGCGACAGCGUGGGGAGCAAACAGG